AAAGAUCUACCAAAACAUGAAAUCAAAAAAUCUGAACCGAUACAACAAUACCUGCCUGUAGCGUGAGCUAGGGUUGGCUACAUAAAAAGCUAGAAGUGACCAAUUUGAUUGAAAAAAGUACGAGAGUUCAAAUUAGAGAUUGAGGAUUCGAAUGGACACAAAAGAUCUGCCAAAACAUGAAAUCAAAAAACUGAACUGAUGCAACAAUACUUGUCUGUAUCGUGAGCUUGGGUUGGC
rnacentral:lncRNA from 1 species